rnacentral:rRNA from 1 species
GAUGAACGCUGGCGGCGUGCUUAACACAUGCAAGUCGAACGGAAAGGCUCCUGCUUGCAGGGGUACUCGAGUGGCGAACGGGUGAGUAACACGUGGGUGAUCUGCCCUGCACUUCGGGAUAAGCCUGGGAAACUGGGUCUAAUACCGGAUAGGACGAUGGUUUGGAUGCCACUGUGGAAAGUUUUUCGGUGUGGGAUGAGCUCGCGGCCUAUCAGCUUGUUGGUGGGGUAAUGGCCUACCAAGGCGUCGACGGGUAGCCGGCCUGAGAGGGUGUACGGCCACAUUGGGACUGAGAUACGGCCCAGACUCCUACGGGAGGCAGCAGUGGGGAAUAUUGCACAAUGGGCGCAAGCCUGAUGCAGCGACGCCGCGUGGGGGAUGACGGCCUUCGGGUUGUAAACUCCUUUCGCUAGGGACGAAGCGCAAGUGACGGUACCUGGAGAAGAAGCACCGGCUAACUACGUG